rnacentral:rRNA from 1 species
GGGUUGUGAGGUUAAGCGACUAAGCGUACACGGUGGAUGCCCUGGCAGUCAGAGGCGAUGAAGGGCGUGCUAAUCUGCGAUAAGCGCCGGUAAGGUGAUAUGAACCGUUAUAACCGGCGAUACCCGAAUGGGGAAACCCAGUGUGAUUCGUCACACUAUCAUUAACUGAAUCCAUAGGUUAAUGAGGCGAACCGGGGGAACUGAAACAUCUAAGUACCCCGAGGAAAAGAAAUCAACCGAGAUUCCCCCAGUAGCGGCGAGCGAACGGGGAGGAGCCCAGAGCCUGAAUCAGCAUGUGUGUUAGUGGAAGCGUCUGGAAAGUCGCGCGAUACAGGGUGACAGCCCCGUACACAAAAGCGCAUGUGUUGUGAGCUCGAUGAGUAGGGCGGGACACGUGGUAUCCUGUCUGAAUAUGGGGGGACCAUCCUCCAAGGCUAAAUACUCCUGACUGACCGAUAGUGAACCAGUACCGUGAGGGAAAGGCGAAAAGAACCCCGGCGAGGGGAGUGAAAAAGAACCUGAAACCGUGUACGUACAAGCAGUGGGAGCACCCUUCGGGGUGUGACUGCGUACCUUUUGUAUAAUGGGUCAGCGACUUAUAUUCUGUAGCAAGGUUAACCGUAUAGGGGAGCCGGAGGGAAACCGAGUCUUAAUUGGGCGUUAAGUUGCAGGGUAUAGACCCGAAACCCGGUGAUCUAGCCAUGGGCAGGUUGAAGGUUGGGUAACACUAACUGGAGGACCGAACCGACUAAUGUUGAAAAAUUAGCGGAUGACCUGUGGCUGGGGGUGAAAGGCCAAUCAAACCGGGAGAUAGCUGGUUCUCCCCGAAAGCUAUUUAGGUAGCGCCUCGUGAAUUCAUCUCCGGGGGUAGAGCACUGUUUCGGCUAGGGGGCCAUCCCGGCUUACCAACCCGAUGCAAACUGCGAAUACCGGAGAAUG